GACGAACGCUGGCGGCGUGCCUAAUACAUGCAAGUAGAACGCUGAAGGAGGAGCUUGCUCUUCUGGAUGAGUUGCGAACGGGUGAGUAACGCGUAGGUAACCUGCCUGGUAGCGGGGGAUAACUAUUGGAAACGAUAGCUAAUACCGCAUAAUAGUAGAUGUUGCAUGAUAUUUACUUAAAAGGUGCAAUUGCACCACUACCAGAUGGACCUGCGUUGUAUUAGCUAGUUGGUGGGGUAACGGCUCACCAAGGCGACGAUACAUAGCCGACCUGAGAAGGUGAUCGGCCACACUGGGACUGAGACACGGCCCAGACUCCUACGGGAGGCAGCAGUAGGGAAUCUUCGGCAAUGGACGAAAGUCUGACCGAGCAACGCCGCGUGAGUGAAGAAGGUUUUCGGAUCGUAAAGCUCUGUUGUAAGAGAAGAACGAGCGUGAGAGUGGAAAGUUCACACUGUGACGGUAUCUUACCAGAAAGGGACGGCUAACUACGUG
rnacentral:rRNA from 1 species